UCGGCGUGAUUUCAAAACGUAUUGUUGUCAACGGAAGUGAUACAUGGAACGUUUUUUUUUCUUGUUUUGUUCAAAUUAAUCUAAAUUGAGCUCCAAAAACAAUUCUAAACAAAACUAACAUCUGUGUGUAAAUAACAAAACAAAAUGCAAUUGCACCUGUUUUAAUAAGACAAUAACCCGCCACAAGAACAAAAA
rnacentral:sRNA from 1 species